ACCUACUUAACACAGUGGUUAGCAUAUUGCUUUUAUACAGCGGGAGUUAUUGGUUCAAAUUCAGUAGUGGGUA
rfam:Eucalyptus grandis cultivar BRASTZ1 unplaced genomic scaffold scaffold_1, whole genome shotgun sequence.